CGACCAUCCCUCAGCCGCAGGGUCGCCCGGUGACUUUCAGCUUUGAAUUCAGAGACUAUUGACGCCCCAGGCGGGGCCAGCGUCUCCAGACCAGGCCACGGGGCUGCAGAGAGAAGAACACGCCUGCUUUUGCCGCGGAUCGCGAGCGCUCGGGCGCAAAGACCCAGAGUGAGGUGGGGCGUGAGUUUAACUUCCUGUAGAGAAAUUUCAACGUCUAUAGACCUUUUAAAAUAUAAUCUGACUUCAGAAGAGCAGCUGCAGUCUUUGGUGAAUUAAUUCACUUAAACCAGAAAGCCUGCCUGCUCCGUGCCGGUCUCUGAGCAGUAAGGGUGGGGGUGGGGGAAUGUGGUUAUCCCGUCCCAGGAAGCAGAGAUUCUUGGUGAGUCUUCCUAGUGCGAUCUUCUUCUCAACCCUGUCUGCUCUCAACCGCAAGUCCUGGCAGCUCGGCCUCCUCGGACGUAGAAACCUUUCCCCAAAUCUCCCUGGGAGCGAAUGACUUCAAACCGUUUGAGAACGAAAACACCUUUCUCAUUUGGAAACAAACGUUUGCCGCAGUCUUAUCGUUUAAGUAACGCCUUAUCCCUCCGUCGCUGCGUCCCAGCCUGGAAGUCCUGGUCUGUGGUGGGCACCAGAGAGCGAUUCCCAAGGUGCGGCGGGACCUUUGCUCCGUCACUGCGCGACCGGGUCUGCGGGCCUAGCCGUCCACUUGCCUUUGGUUCCCUGAAGCUCCGGGGGCACCCAACAAUUACUACUGCCCUGGCGACAGUCCCAGCUUGCCUGACCCUGAGAAGAUGUUGCGGGGUGGGGUUUAUUAAAUGAUGAAUUACAUCGAUUUUUGAAUGUUAAACCAACCUUGCAUUCCUGGGAUAAACCUCACUUGGUCCUGCUUUUUCUUUACCUGAAAAUGAUUCCUGACCGAGUGAAUUGCCCUUUGCUUUAAAAGCAACCCCAUCACUCACUCGAAGAUGUUAGUGCAGAGCUGCAUCUGAAUCUAAACCAGACUGCGUUAAAUCACUGUGCGUGUACAUCACGGUGCCUGGCAAACACAACCGUCGUUCUGGGGACAGCCACUUGAACUAGAGCAGUGGCAUUAAAUCUUCGCCUCACUCAAGUAUGGCCAUUCCGUGGUUUCGUUUACAGCUGACACGUCAAAGACAUUAUAAGGAAGAAGAUGAAACUCAAAGGCUCCACAAAAUUACCCAUGAAUAUGAUCCAGCAUUGGAAUGCACCCUGGAGCUUGAGGACAUGCCUGAAAUCCCCUGCAAACACUUGUCUUUCACUCCUCCUCAUACGCAGAAAGGAUGUGCACAUAUGACCCCUGGACUCACACAUGAUUCCAGCCCACAGUCACACUAAACUUGGGUUCGAGUUACACGUGUGCUUGCUUACACCUCAACUCACACACUCCCACCUGGACAUUUGUGUACACAGGCCUAUUCAUUCCUAGCAGAGCCAAAAUCUGCAUUUACAGCUACAUCAAAAACACACUUUUAGGUCCCUCAGAAACAAAUGGCAACAGAGAAGGGAAACAGGGCAGCUCUAAGAAUGGCCCUGCUCCCUCCUCUUCUGUCCGGGAGCAAAGCAACCAGGAUCUUUUGGGCUAAGUCGAUAUGCUGGGCCCCAGUGUAGACUCUUACAACAGGCCCUGAUCCGACUCCAAGGCCAAGAGCAGCAAUCCCCUCCCCGCCACGUCUGCUGGGUUCCUCCAGCUGUCUCCAGGGCAGUUCUCCCUACAUGCAAACUAUUAGCAUUUCCUGUUAAAACAUUUCUAAUAAAUAAAUGAAUACAUCAUCUUCCCAACCCAAAGCAGGUCUGAAAGCAGCCUAGGAGCUACUCCAAGCUAAGGAUGGACGUGGACCACCCAGCACCAGCCCACUGGCCCAGGGCCAAUGUUGCUUUUGUUUGAAUUCCUGU
ensembl:lncRNA